rnacentral:rRNA from 1 species
AUGCACAUACGUGACAGUGCCAGGUCUCACCGUCGCUGCACAAUCCCACUGACGCCUCCGUCGCCGCCGAUCUGUGGGAGGCUGCCGCACAACCCCACGCACGCAUCCACCUCCGCCGAUCCCAAGGAGGGUGUCGCCGAUCAGGUUCCGCCUAAAUCAGGUAUGAUGAUUUUUUAUGCUUCCGCCGGCAGCACAUUCAAAAGACACUUGAAGGUUUUCAGACUUGUGAAUCAUACAAUUUAUACAUAUGCAACUUCUCUGAAUUUUACAAAGCUAAGUUACACCUUUUCUUUAUCAGUGUUCCCAGCUCGACUAGGUUCAAGCUUUUCCUGUAAGCAGUUGGUAGCUUUGUCCUCCUGUCAGUUUACUUUGAAAUGGACCUCUACUCUAGCUUCUCAUGUUGGCCUACAUUUGUGA